rnacentral:pre_miRNA from 1 species
UUAAAGGAUUUGAAGACUUCCACUUGCAUACUUACAGGAUUUAAAGACUUCAACUUGCAUAUUUUGAGGAUUUGAAGACCUUAACU